ACCAGACUCCUACGGGAGGCAGCAGUGGGGAAUAUUGCACAAUGGGGGGAACCCUGAUGCAGCGACGCCGCGUGGGUGAAGGAGCACCUCGGUGCGUAAAGCCCUAUCGGCAGGGAAGAAACAGACGGUACCUGACUAAGAAGCCCCGGCUAACUACGUGCCAGCAGCCGCGGUAAUACGUAGGGGGCAAGCGUUAUCCGGAUUCACUGGGUGUAAAGGGAGCGUAGACGGCGACGGAAGUCUGGAGUGAAAGCCCGGGGCCCAACCCCGGGCCUGCUCUGGAAACUGGGGCGCUGGAGUACGGGAGGGGCAGGCGGAAUUCCUGGUGAAGCGGUGAAAUGCGUAGAUAUCAGGAGGAACACCGGCGGCGAAGGCGGCUUACUGGACUGUAACUGACGUUGAGGCUCGAAAGCGUGAGGAGCAAACAGGAUUAGAUACCCGGGUAAA
rnacentral:rRNA from 1 species